UACGAAGGGGGCUAGCGUUGUUCGGAAUUACUGGGCGUAAAGCGUAUGCAGGCGGAUCGUUAAGUCGGGGGUGAAAUCCCGAGGCUCAACCUCGGAACUGCCUUCGAUACUGGCGACCUUCGAGUCCGGGAGAGGUGAGUGGAACUCCGAGUGUAGAGGUGAAAUUCGUAGAUAUUCGGAAGAAACACCAGUGGCGAAGGCGGCUCACUGGCCCGGUACUGACGCUGAGAUACGAAAAGCGUGGGGAGCAAACAGG
rnacentral:rRNA from 1 species